CAGUAGCCGCGGUAAAACGGAGGGUGCAAGCGUUAAUCGGAAUUACUGGGCGUAAAGCGUGCGUAGGCGGCUUCUUAAGUCGGAUGUGAAAUCCCUGAGCUUAACUUAGGAAUUGCAUUCGAUACUGGGAAGCUAGAGUAUGGGAGAGGAUGGUAGAAUUCCAGGUGUAGCGGUGAAAUGCGUAGAGAUCUGGAGGAAUACCGAUGGCGAAGGCAGCCAUCUGGCCUAAUACUGACGCUGAGGUACGAAAGCAUGGGGAGCAAACAGGAUUAGAUACCCGUGUAGUCCCUGUCUCUUAUAC
rnacentral:rRNA from 1 species